CGCAGAGUGACCGCCCAUCGCGGGCGGGUAAUGCGGCUAGCCGGUCACAAGCCCGG
rnacentral:ribozyme from 2 species